rnacentral:tRNA from 1 species
AAAGGGAGACCUAAUUCGGGUAGAAGACGAAAAAAUAGUAGUCGAAACCAAGAAUCAAUCCCAAAAGGUCGGAACGAGGUAUGUGGCUUUCAAACUAGGUUCUGGGUUCAUAAAAGACCUGAAUCAGGAACAAGGGCUAUUAGCUCAGGUGGUUAGAGCGCACCCCUGAUAAGGGUGAGGUCCCUGGUUCGAGUCCAGGAUGGCCCACCUGUACAGGUGGCAAAAAGAAAGAAAAGAAGCGAGGAAUCAGCACCUUAUCUUACUGACAUAGUAAGAGAGAAUGCUGGCUCUGAGUAAAGAGUCCAGAGGAACCUUGAAAACUGCAUAGAGCUAGGUGAAAAAGCCAAAAAAGAAGACCGCAAG